rnacentral:lncRNA from 1 species
CCUUGUAGGACAGUAGAACCUGUAUCUCUUAGAGCUGGAAACUCAAUGAAAAAAAUAACGCGAGGUUCUAGGUUCAAUUUUAUAUGUCUUUACCUUUGCAGGACAUCCCAAACUCAAAAAUAAUUUAAACUGGGUUUUCUAUUGGCCCACAACUCAAUAGAGGUUUUAGGGACUGACUUGGAAGGGACACAAUUAAGAAUGUACAUUAAUGUUAUAAUAGCUUAACCCCCAAAGAAACUCGGAUAAGUUAGAUCUACUCAUCAUGUCUUUUAAAGUACGAUUUCGCCUUUCAAGUUAGUGAAAAAGUUCUAAAACAAUUUUAAUUUGAAAAUGCUACCAAUACACUUUAAAACAUAUUUAUUUACUUUUGACAAGGUAUUAAGCAACAAAAAACUUUUUCAUUGAAGACAGUCAAUUUUUUUGCAAUUACAGCUCCACACAAUUUUCUUUUAAACUAACAACACUUCAUUGAUUAAUUUCCACAUCGAAUGAAAACAACUGUUCCAUUACCCACAACAAUAACCCCUAGAAUUCGAAAAACACGCCAUAAUUUCUAAAAAUCAAAUCCAAUUGAUUUGGUUUCAUCCGCUUUUCCAAAUCCAAUUGAUUUUGCCAUUGACUGACUCUUAAUCAUAUUUACACCCUUUUAAUAUGGAAUAAAGUAAUGUGCAGCAAUCAGAACGAAGUCAGUAGCCAAAAGGAAAAGGAAAAUCAUUUCAGAUUUAGGUUUAAGAUGGAGUGCGUCACGAUCAUUAUUUCAAUUAUUUUUCUCAUGAACUAAGUAAUAGGGUUAAAGAUAUAUGUGAAAAUCUCGGAUACCAAGUGUUUGAUUUAUAGAGAAACGCACCAA